rnacentral:rRNA from 1 species
UACGGAGGGGGCAAGCGUUACUCGGAAUUACUGGGCGUAAAGGGUUCGUAGGUGGUGCGGUAAGUUGGAAGUGAAAUCUUUGGGCUUAACCCAGAGGCUGCUUUCAAAACUGCCGUGCUCGAGUGCGAGAGAGGUCAGUGGAAUUGCAGGUGUAGCGGUGAAAUGCGUAGAUAUCUGCAGGAACACCCGUGGCGAAGGCGGCUGACUGGAUCGCAACUGACACUGAGGAACGAAAGCUAGGGGAGCAAACAGG